ACUCACAGCGAUCCGCCUGGCUCUGCCUCCCAAGUGCUGGGAUUAAAGGCGUGCGCCACCACCGCCCGGCAUCUUCCUGAAUUUCUAAAAGCAAUUACAGAAAGUUGUGGGGGGGAAACCUCACCUAGUUCCUUGGCAUGAGCUUGACUUAACUGGCCCUGUCUCUAGCCCUGUAAAUAUUUUUAAAGCCUUUAUAUGUCAUCUUAACAUAAGGAAAUAGGGAAGAACUCAUACAUGAGGAAAACCCUAUUCAUGUGAUUUAGACAUCACAGUUGUCUUCAGUUUCAAAGAAAAAAACUCUUGUUUAAUCUCUUUUUUCAUCAUAGGCUUGAAGCAAGUAAAUUAUUUAGCAUGUGCACUCAAGUCUGAUGGUGGAGAUCACAGUAUCAUGGCUUGUGUUUUGAAGCUUUUGGAGUAGCUGUUGACGAAUUCUGUAUAUAUGACAAAUCCCGUUACUGAAGUUUAUUUGGUGGUUCAUACAUUCAUUUUCUGGCUUCUGUUCAUCUAUUGUGCUUUCAAUUGGUAACAGGUAUUGUUCUGCUGAUGUGUAUAGGAUAGAAUGCCCAUCAUCUAAGGGGUCCAUUGUUUAUACAUGGUUUGUGAUCCAGCCUGGCGUGGAUAUCAGUAAACAGUCAAGGCUACAUUUGAACAGAUGUUUCUCAUGUGUCAGCCUUCUGAGUACAAGUCCAACAAUAGAAGAUGUGCCUCCAAUGUGUCCUGUUUUGUCAAUACUUUUUAAAACUGUUAAUAUUCAAAUGCUUAAUAGAAGAGAAUGUCAGAAACAUUAAAAUACCUCAUCUGUGUAUUCAAAGUAGCAUUUUCAUCUAUCUGGUAGAGAUAUAAUAAAGUAGAAUAAUCAGCAAUCAACUGUGUAUCUCAUAGUUUGAUGUGCUAUAGAUAUGUAUAUAUUAUUUGAUGUUCCUACUUUAUGAACCCAUGUUUAUCCGCUUGGCACUCCCUCUUGAAGUAUUGCCUCCUAAGGGAGUUAUCUAGAGAUGCCAGAUAAUGUCAGGGAAUUGAGAUUUAUUUUAGAAAAAAAAUGUGUGUGUGUGUGUGUGCUGAUUAUGGGUUUGUAGGGCAUAGCAGACAUGUUGAGACCUGAAGAAAACUUGAGAAAAUUCUUUUGGUCCUCUUUGUAUGGUGAUGAAAUCAGAUUGCCAGCCUUGCACACCACAGACAUUUUUUACCCUAAUGAAGCAUCUCACUGGUACUUGACUAUGAUUAGUAGAGACAUUGUAUCAAUAAAAUGUUAUCUAUUAAAAUUAUAAACAUUUAAAGAUAGAGGAACAUAGAAUAGUUUGAAUAAUUAAUCCUAUUUGCAAAUGAAUAUGAUAUAUUGCCAUUUUUGGAUUGUAUUAGUUUCUUCUGAGAAGUAAACACUUGUUCAUAACGCUUUCUCAGAACCACAAAUGAAUUCCAGGGAAUUGUCUCAGUGAGUAAAUUUGGUUGUUACUAAGCCUGGUUACCUGAGUUCAGUCUCUUGGAGACCCAUAGUGCUCCUACAAGUCUUUCUUUUGUUGUAUACUUGGGCUGUGGCAUAUGCACACCCAAACACCAGCAUAUAGAAAAACAAUGUUAAAACCCAAAUAAGGCCAAUGCGGUCACUUGCAGCCAAACUUGACUCCCUGCAUUUGAUCACUAGAACUCACAUAGGUGAAGGAGUAAUUACACCUGUACGUUGUUCUGUGGGUGUCACAUGCAUACUGUGGCAUAAGUGUGUACACACUGUUAAAACAGUUUUAAAAGUUGAAGUCAGGAAAGUGAAGAGAAUAACCUAAAUAUUGAGAACAAAUAAAAUUACUUGCCGGUUGAAAUUAAUACAUUGUAGAAUUUUAAGUAGAAUUACUGUUCAUCAAUACAAUGAUUGUUCCUGUUUAAAAUUUGCACUAUAUUUUUUAUUCUCUGAUUCAAACAUAGGUCAUUAAAACAAUAUAUCCCAGCUGAGCAUAGUGGUUCAUGUGACUGCAGCACUUGGGAUACAAAGUCUAGAGGAUCUCUCUGAAUUUUAGGAAGGUGUGGUUGAGAUAGUGAAUCCCAGGACAGCUGUUGCUACAUAGAAAGAUCCUUUCUCAAAAAAAA